UACGUAGGGGGCAAGCGUUGUCCGGAAUCAUUGGGCGUAAAGAGCGUGUAGGCGGCCCGGUAAGUCCGCUGUGAAAGUCCAGGGCUCAACCCUGGAAUGCCGGUGGAAACUGUCGGGCUAGAGUCCGGAAGAGGCGAGUGGAAUUCCUGGUGUAGCGGUGAAAUGCGCAGAUAUCAGGAGGAACACCGGUGGCGAAGGCGGGUCUCUGGGCCGAUACUGACGCUGAGGAGCGAAAGCGUGGGGAGCGAACAGG
rnacentral:rRNA from 1 species